ACCCAGUAAGAGUGCUAAGCACGUAUGUAUCUUUGGAGUCAUUGGCUCCUUCCCAAAAAAAUGCUUGUGAACUCAAAUUGAGUUGUAAUUGUCAACAUUUAAGGGAGUUUGUAAAAAGUCACUAUUCGGUAAACUGUAUCAUAUGGUACAGUAUGUGUCAGGCACGUGCUAGGUGCUGGAGAUACAGAAGUUAUCAAAUAGGCAGAACCUGUUCUCAUGUUGCUGUGUUUUUGGAAAAAAGAUGUUUUGCUUCACAAAAGCCAAAUCAGACCCCAGGGAGCCUGGCAGGGGAUCCACUCUGGGGUCAAUGCCAGAGACUGCUCAGCUUGCUAUAGCUGCUGUCUCCCCUCAUCCAAAUCCAGAGCUCACUGCAGUCUCAAGCCCACUUGCUGUGCAUUCCAGACAUGGGUGCAAAUGCUGAGUACCUUUGCUGUGAGAUUUUUCCCUGCUGCGGCUCGGGACACAUCCCUAGUUCAAAGCUGGUGUGUGUUUCUGCAGGGAAGAACCUCUGGAUUGGUAAGGCUGCUUAGCAGGCAAACAAAACUGGCCCUGCAAGUGGGCAGCUGAACAAGUCUGGGCAUGUCCUGCCUUCCGUGACUGUCUUAGUUCUGGUUUCUGUUCAGUGGAUGAGGAGCAGACCCACAACUUUGGAGUGAACUUGCCUUUGUGUACUGAAGAUGUGGUGGGACAAUCCCACUGAGGACCAUGGAAGCUUUAGCCUGAAAAUGGUCCCCACUCUAGGCUCUAGGGAGUUUUAAUAAUGAGGAAAAUACUCACAUUGUAAUAUUAAGUGAAAUAAAGCAGUGCACACUUAUGUAUA
rnacentral:lncRNA from 12 species